UACAGGGGUGCAAACGUUGCUCGGAAUUAUUGGGCGUAAAGCGCGCGUAGGCGGCUACUUAAGUCGGAUGUGAAAUCCCUCGGCUCAACCGAGGAACUGCCCUCCAAACUGUUUGGCUUGAGACCGGGAGAGGUGAGUGGAAUUCCCAGUGUAGCGGUGAAAUGCGUAGAUAUUGGGAGGAACACCAGUGGCGAAGGCGGCUCACUGGACCGGUACUGACGCUGAGGCGCGAAAGCGUGGGGAGCAACGGG
rnacentral:rRNA from 1 species